CAAGGGUCUGACGACUAUGAGGGAUCUUAUUGCGGACGCUCUACGGUUCUACUCUAAGGUAUGCAAGUGACCGGUUUUAUCGUCACUUGAUCCGUCUAGUUUCGGUCUCCAUUACUCGCAAAUUAGCUUAGAAAGUUUAGAUCCGGAUGAAAAGUUGAUCCAGUUAGGUUCAAGGAAUUUUUUCCUUUGUCCUAAGCGAACUGCGAACGCGACAUCCUCAUCUACUUGCUCGGAGGAAGCAGAAAAUUUGACGAAAUUUAAUGCGCAUUGGCUUCGAUUCAUGAACUUUUCCUUUGUCCUAAGCGAACUGUGAACGCGACAUCAUCAUCUACUUGCUCGGGGGAAGCAGAAAAUUUGACGAAAUUAGCUUAGAAAGAUUAGAUCCGGAUGAAAAGUUGAUCCAGUUAGGUUCAAGGAAUUUUUUCCUUUGUCCUAAGCAAACUGCGAACGCGACAUCAUCAUCUACUUGCUCGGAGGAAGCAGAAAAUUUGACGAAAUUUAAUGCGCAUUGGCUUCGAUUCAUGAACUUUUCGCAGUAAGAAUAUUUGAUAUUAUAUUAUAUGUUAGGCGAAUUAAUAUGCCCAUGCCAAUUUCAA